rnacentral:snoRNA from 1 species
CGGACCAAUGGUGAUGACUGGUGGAGUAUGAGUCAUGGAUGACGAAUACCAUGUGCCUGUUUAU